rnacentral:rRNA from 1 species
CGCUCAGGAUGAACGCUGUGGGCGAGCCUAAUACAUGCAAGUCGAGCGAACGGACGAGAGAGCUUCCACUCUCUGAUGUUAGCGGCGGACGGGUGAGUAACACGUGGGUAACCUACCUAUAAGACUGGGAUAACUUCGGGAUACCGGAGCUAAUACCGCUUAAUAUUUAGCUUCGCAUGAAGCAAUAGUGAUAGACGGUUCUGCUGUCACUUAUAGAUGCACCCGCGGUGUAUUAGCUAGUUGGUGAGGUAACGCCUCACCAAGUCGACGAUACAUAGCCGACCUGAGUGGGUGAUCGGCCAGAGUGCG